rnacentral:rRNA from 1 species
CGGUUGAUCCUGCCGGAGGCCGCUGCUAUCCGGCUGGGACUAAGCCAUGGUAGUCAUGGGGCGCGGGCCCUUCGGGGUUCGCGCACCGGCGGACAGCUCAGUAACACGUGGCCAACCUACCCUCGGGAGGGGGAUAACCCCGGGAAACUGGGGCUAAACCCCCAUAGGGGAUGGGUGGUGGAAGUCCCCCAUCCCCGAAAGUGUGCCACUCCCGUAAGGGGUGGCACAGCCCGAGGAUGGGGCUGCGGCGGAUUAGGUAGUUGGCGGGGUAACGGCCCGCCAAGCCGAAGAUCCGUACGGGCCAUGAGAGUGGGAGCCCGGAGAUGGACCCUGAGACAAGGGUCCAGGCCCUACGGGGCGCACCAGGCGCGAAACCUCCGCAAUGCGGGAAACCGCGACGGGGUCAGCCGGAGUGCCCGCGCAUCGCGCGGGCUGUCGGGGAGCCUAAAAAGCUCCCCACAGCAAGGGCCGGGCAAGGCCGGUGGCAGCCGCCGCGGUAAUACCGGCGGCCCGAGUGGCGGCCACUAUUAUUGGGCCUAAAGCGUCCGUAGCCGGGCGGGUAAGUCCCCCGGGAAAUCUGGCGGCUUAACCGUCAGAAUUCCGGGGGAUACUGCCCGCCUAGGGACCGGGAGAGGCCGGGGGAAUUCCCGGGGUAGGGGUGAAAUCCUAUAAUCCCGGGAGGACCACCUGUGGCGAAGGCGCCCGGCUGGAACGGGUCCGACGGUGAGGGACGAAGGCCAGGGGAGCGAACCGGAUUAGAUACCCGGGUAGUCCUGGCUGUAAACGAUGCGGGCUAAGGGUGUCGGGCCAGCUACGAGCUGGCCCGGUGCCGGAGGGAAGCCGUUAAGCCCGCCGCCUGGGGAGUACGGCCGCAAGGCUGAAACUUAAAGGAAUUGGCGGGGGAGCACA